rnacentral:lncRNA from 1 species
GAGAAGAUUUAGUCUCUUUAAAAGGUUCUACGCGAUGUGUUCAAUGUUGACCAGAAUAGCUUGGGAAUCCCAGACAGAGGUUUGGCUCCUUUUGGUAGGGUCAUAGUAGCUUUUCAGGCUCUUCCAGCCACUUUUAGUAGAUGUCUGUAUCCAGACAUGUUGUGCUUCCGCUUGACGUUUGUAUGACUUGAGUGUCGGUUCACGGGACCCCUGUUUGUAAUAUCAUACUAUGUUGAUUCUUAUGAGUCCUUAAUAAAAGCUUGAGUCAUAGAGU